rnacentral:lncRNA from 1 species
UGUUUGAAAUUUGUUCAUUUUCCCUCUCUUAAUUUAUUUAGAGCCGGGUGAAGGAAACUUGGAAUGUAUAUGGUGUCAUUUUUAACUUUGAAGAAUAAAGAUAAUCUAUGGUUUAGCUGAAAGCACUUGGAGAGAUGAAUCUUGAAAGAUACCAAGAAGGACUCAUCAAAUAUUACCUGGGAGACAUGGCCUUGAAAGCAUAACCUGUGAAUAUAAUCCAUCUGAGACAGCACUUAACUCCAGACAACUCAAUGAUCAACUCAGGAAAAGCAGCAAACAUGAAAAUUCUAUGGCUGAGGCCAUAUUGCACAUCCUUGGUGGACUGUUAAGAAGAGAAAAGAAAAUCUGUGAAUGCAGUGGAGGCUCACCUUGUUGUCUGCCUGGAGCAGGGAAUAGAUUCUCCCUCUGUGUAACUGGCCUACUUUGCUGUUCCCCACACAGUCUUCAGCAGAGGUGUUAUAUGACUUCCAGAAGUUAA